rnacentral:rRNA from 1 species
UGAGGGCAAACCUGUCUCCUGCACCCAAUCAGUGAAAUUGAUCUCCUGGUACAAAAGCCAGAAUAAUUACAUAAGACGAGAAGACCCUGUGGAGCUUAAAAUUUUUAACUACCUAAAAACUAGUAUCAAUUUUAAGUUGGGGCGACUUCGGAACAAAACAAAACUUCCGAGCUAGGAGUUAUUCACUCCUAAUAAGGCCAACAAGCCAACUAAACCGACCCAGUCACACUGAUCAACGAACCAAGUUACCCCAGGGAUAACAGCGCAAUCCCCUCCAAGAGUCCAUAUCGACAAGGGGGUUUACGACCUCGAUGUUGGAUCAGGACACCCUAAUGGUGCAGCCGCUAUUAAAGGUUCGUUUGUUCAACGAUUAAUAGUCCUACGUGAU